UGAACGCUGGCGGCGUGCUUAACACAUGCAAGUCGAACGGGAAUUACUUUAUUGAAACUUCGGUCGAUUUAAUUUAAUUCUAGUGGCGGACGGGUGAGUAACGCGUGGGUAACCUGCCUUAUACAGGGGGAUAACAGUCAGAAAUGGCUGCUAAUACCGCAUAAGCGCACAGAGCUGCAUGGCUCAGUGUGAAAAACUCCGGUGGUACAAGAUGGACCCGCGUCUGAUUAGCUGGUUGGUGAGGUAACGGCCCACCAAGGCGACGAUCAGUAGCCGGCCUGAGAGGGUGAACGGCCACAUUGGGACUGAGACACGGCCCAAACUCCUACGGGAGGCAGCAGUGGGGAAUAUUGCACAAUGGGGGAAACCCUGAUGCAGCAACGCCGCGUGAGUGAAGAAGUAUUUCGGUAUGUAAAGCUCUAUCAGCAGGAAAGAGAAUGACGGUACCUGACUAAGAAGCCCCGGCUAACUACGUGCCAGCAGCCGCGGUAAUACGUAGGGGGCAAGCGUUAUCCGGAUUUACUGGGUGUAAAGGGAGCGUAGACGGUUUUGCAAGUCUGAAGUGAAAGCCCGGGGCU
rnacentral:rRNA from 1 species